rnacentral:rRNA from 1 species
AUUGAACGCUGGCGGCAUGCUUUACACAUGCAAGUCGAACGGUAACAGGCCGCAAGGUGCUGACGAGUGGCGAACGGGUGAGUAAUGCAUCGGAACGUGCCCAGUCGUGGGGGAUAACGCAGCGAAAGCUGUGCUAAUACCGCAUACGAUCUAUGGAUGGAAGCGGGGGACCGUAAGGCCUCGCGCGAUUGGAGCGGCCGAUGUCAGAUUAGGUAGUUGGUGGGGUAAAGGCUCACCAAGCCAACGAUCUGUAGCUGGUCUGAGAGGACGACCAGCCACACUGGGACUGAGACACGGCCCAGACUCCUACGGGAGGCAGCAGUGGGGAAUUUUGGACAAUGGGCGCAAGCCUGAUCCAGCAAUGCCGCGUGCAGGAAGAAGGCCUUCGGGUUGUAAACUGCUUUUGUACGGAACGAAAAGGUUUGGGUUAAUACCCUGGGCCGAUGACGGUACCGUAAGAAUAAGCACCGGCUAACUACGUGCAGCAGCCGCCGUAACAC